UGCGGGAUCGGCUAAUGGUAGGCCAAUAGACUCUGAAUCUAUUAAUCUUGGUUCGAAUCCAAGUCCCGCAGCCC
rnacentral:tRNA from 1 species